UACGAAGGGGGCUAGCGUUGCUCGGAAUGACUGGGCGUAAAGGGCGCGUAGGCGGCGUAAUCGGUCAGGCGUGAAAUUCCUGGGCUUAACCUGGGGGCUGCGCUUGAUACAGUUAUGCUUGAGUGUGGAAGAGGGUCGUGGAAUUCCCAGUGUAGAGGUGAAAUUCGUAGAUAUUGGGAAGAACACCGGUGGCGAAGGCGGCGACCUGGUCCAUUACUGACGCUGAGGCGCGAAAGCGUGGGGAG
rnacentral:rRNA from 1 species